ACUCCUACGGGAGGCAGCAGUGGGGAAUAUUGCACAAUGGAGGAAACUCUGAUGCAGCAACGCCGCGUGGAGGAUGACGCAUUUCGGUGUGUAAACUCCUUUUAUAUGGGAAGAUAAUGACGGUACCAUAUGAAUAAGCACCGGCUAACUCCGUGCCAGCAGCCGCGGUAAUACGGAGGGUGCAAGCGUUACUCGGAAUCACUGGGCGUAAAGCGCAUGCAGGCGGUCUAAUAAGUUGGAAGUGAAAGCCUAUGGCUCAACCAUAGAACUGCUUCCAAAACUGUUAGACUAGAGUCUGGGAGGGGAAGAUGGAAUUAGUAGUGUAGGGGUAAAAUCCGUAGAGAUUACUAGGAAUACCAAAAGCGAAGGCGAUCCUCUGGAACAGUACUGACGCUGAGAUGCGAAAGCGUGGGGAGCAAACAGGAUUAGAUACCCUGGUAGUCCACGCAGUAAACGAUGAAUGUUAGUCGUUGGUAUCCUAGAGAUAUCAGUGAUGCAGUUAACACAUUAAACAUUCCGCCUGGGGAGUACGGUCGCAAGAUUAAAACUCAAAGGAAUAGACGGGGACCCGCACAAGUGGUGGAGCAUGUGGUUUAAUUCGAAGAUACGCGAAGAACCUUACCUAGCCUUGACAUAUUUUAGAAUUCACCAGAGAUGGAGGAGUGCCUUCGGGAGCUAAUAUACAGGUGCUGCACGGCUGUCGUCAGCUCGUGUCGUGAGAUGUUGGGUUAAGUCCCGCAACGAGCGCAACCCUCGUCACUAGUUACUAACGAUUCGGUCGAGGACUCUAGUGAGACUGCCUUCGUAAGGAGGAGGAAGGUGAGGACGACGUCAAGUCAUCAUGGCCCUUACGGCUAGGGCAACACACGUGCUACAAUGGUUAGGACAAUGAGAAGCAAUAUCGCGAGGUGGAGCAAAUCUAUAAACCUAAUCUCAGUUCGGAUUGUAGUCUGCAACUCGACUACAU
rnacentral:rRNA from 1 species